UACGAAGGGUGCAAGCGUUACUCGGAAUUACUGGGCGUAAAGCGUGCGUAGGUGGUUUGUUAAGUCUGUUGUGAAAGCCCCGGGCUCAACCUGGGAAUGGCAAUGGAUACUGGCAAGCUAGAGUGCGGUAGAGGGUAGUGGAAUUCCCGGUGUAGCGGUGAAAUGCGUAGAGAUCGGGAGGAACACCAGUGGCGAAGGCGGCUACCUGGACCAGCACUGACACUGAGGCACGAAAGCGUGGGAGCAAACAGG
rnacentral:rRNA from 1 species